rnacentral:rRNA from 1 species
GAUCCUGGCUCAGAACGAACGCCGGCGGCACGUUUUAAGCAUGCAAGUCGAACGGUAGAAGGUCUUCGGACUUUUGAGAGUGGCGAACGGGUGAGUAACACGUAGGUAAUCUGUCUUAGGGGUUGGGGAUAGCCCAUGGAAACAUGGGGUAAUACCGAAUAGCUCCCUUUCAGCACAAGCGGGAAGGGGGAAAGGCGCUUAGGCGCCGCCUUAGGGUGAGCCUGCGGUCCAUUAGUUAGUUGGUGGGGUAAGAGCCUACCAAGGCAGCGAUGGAUAGCCGGCCUGAGAGGGUGAACGGCCACACUGGGACUGAGACACGGCCCAGACUCCUACGGGAGGCAGCAGCUAAGAAUCUUCCGCAAUGGGCGAAAGCCUGACGGAGCGAUGCCGCGUGAGUGAAGAAGGCGGGAACGUUGUAAAACUCUUUUCUCGGGGAGGAAUAAGGAGGGGAGGUAAUGCCCCUUUGAUGACGCGAACCGAGGAAUAAGCCCCGGCUAAUUACGUGCCAGCAGCCGCGGUAACACGUAAGGGGCGAGCGUUGUUCGGAAUUAUUGGGCGUAAAGGGCGUGUAGGCGGCGAUGUAAGCCUGGUGUGAAAGACUUCAGCUUAACUGGAGAGCCGCGCUGGGAACUAUGUUGCUUGAGUAUAGGAGGGGGAGCUGGAAUUCCAGGUGUAGGGGUGAAAUCUGUAGAUAUCUGGAAGAACACCGGAGGCGAAGGCGAGCUCCUGGCCAUAUACUGACGCUGAGGCGCGAAAGCGUGGGGAGCGAACAGGAUUAGAUACCCUGGUAGUCCACGCUGUAAACGUUGUGCACUAGGUGUCGGACUUACGGGUUCGGUACCGAAGUUAACGCGAUAAGUGCACCGCCUGGGGAGUAUGCUCGCAAGGGUGAAACUCAAAGGAAUUGACGGGGGCCCCGCACAAAGCGGUGGAGCAUGUGGUUUAAUUCGAUGAUACGCGAGAAAACUUACCAGGGUUUGACAUAUAGCA